rnacentral:rRNA from 1 species
GACGUAGGGCGCGAGCGUUGUCCGGAUUUAUUGGGCGUAAAGAGCUCGUAGGCGGCUUGUCGCGUCGACUGUGAAAUCCCGCGGCUCAACUGCGGGUCUGCAGUCGAUACGAGCAAACUAGAGUGUUGCAGGGGAGACUGGAAUUCCUGGUGUAGCGGUGAAAUGCGCAGAUAUCAGGAGGAACACCGGUGGCGAAGGCGGGUCUCUGGGCAGUAACUGACGCUGAGGAGCGAAAGCGUGGGGAGCAAACAGG